ensembl:snRNA U1 U1 spliceosomal RNA
AUAUAUAUUGCAGAAAAAUAAAAUAUCGCAAUGUAAUUUUUUCCCAAUAUCGUGCAGCCCUAGUGCUGACCUCUGCGAAUUCCCCAAAUGUGGGAAUCUCGAUUGCAUAAUUUAUGGUAGUGGGGGACUGCGUUUGCGCUCUCCCCUG